GACGAACGCUGGCGGCGUGCCUAAUACAUGCAAGUAGAACGCUGAAGGAGGAGCUUGCUCUUCUGGAUGAGUUGCGAACGGGUGAGUAACGCGUAGGUAACCUGCCUGGUAGCGGGGGAUAACUAUUGGAAACGAUAGCUAAUACCGCAUAACAGUAGAUGUUGCAUGACAUUUACUUAAAAGGUGCAAUUGCAUCACUACCAGAUGGACCUGCGUUGUAUUAGCUAGUUGGUGGGGUAACGGCUCACCAAGGCGACGAUACAUAGCCGACCGGAGAGGGUGAUCGGACGCACUGGGGCUGAGACAGGGCCGAGACUCCUACGGGAGGCAGAAGUAGGGAAGCUUGGGCAAUGGAAGGAAGUGUGACCGAGCAACGCCGCGUGAGUGAAGAAGGUUUUCGGAUCGUAAAGCUCUGUUGUAAGGGAAGAACGAGUGUGAGAGUGGAAAGUUCACACUGUGAGGGUAUCUUACCAGAGAGGGACGGCUAACUACGUG
rnacentral:rRNA from 1 species